rnacentral:rRNA from 1 species
UACGUAGGGUGCGAGCGUUAAUCGGAAUUACUGGGCGUAAAGCGUGCGCAGGCGGUUUGCUAAGACCGAUGUGAAAUCCCCGGGCUCAACCUGGGAACUGCAUUGGUGACUGGCAGGCUAGAGUAUGGCAGAGGGGGGGUAGAAUUCCACGUGUAGCAGUGAAAUGCGUAGAGAUGUGGAGGAAUACCGAUGGCGAAGGCAGCCCCCCUGGGCCAAUACUGACGCUCAUGCACGAAAGCGUGGGGAGCAAA